AGCUGGAGUUUCUGCCUAGACUUUGGUCAGAGGGAACCCAGAGGGACCAGGAUGAAGAGUGAAGGAAAUGCCAAGGAGCUGACUGUCUGUCUGUCAAAGAAGACCCUGUUGAAAGCCCUGGGAGAAAUGGAGGAGGUGGGUAUGACCCUCCUUUUGGGCUAUAUAUUACAAAUCUUUGGCUUGGAGUUUCUGUUGCUGACUUGCUUCUUGGAGGUGGCUUUGGACUUGAACCUCUGCUUCGACUUGGGACCUUGGCUCUUAGACUGUGUCAUGGAGGACUGCUCCUGGAUCUUCUCCUUUGGACUAUGUCUUGGGUACCCAGCAGUGGUCAUGGCUUCAAUCUAGAGUCUGGCCCAUCCUGAUGAGAUUUCUCAGAACCCAGAACAGUGAAAGGAGUCCAAAAGAGAGAGUUAUGGAGGAGCCAAAGGGGUGGGUUUUAAAGCUAUCCAACUGGCUUUGGAGGAGUGCUAAAAACCAUUUGAAAGGACAAGUUCAACGUACAGACUGAAGGGAUGCUUCCUGAUCUCUCCAGCUGAAAGUGCUCUUUCCCUCCUCAAAUUUUCCAAGAAUUCUUUGUCUGGGUAAUAAUAAUAACCAAUAUGUGUAGAGCACUUUACACAAUAACUUCAGCUGAUGUCAUGGCAAACUUCUGAAGUGUAUUCUGGUUUUAGUCCCAUUUCAGAGAUGAGCACAACCGAGACUCAGAAAUGAAAAAAUGACUUGUCCAAGGCCCUACGGGUGUUCCGUGACAGAGUUAGAAUUUAGACCAUGUCCCAUUUUAGCCCAACAUCCAGGGACCUAAAUCUUAAACCUGGAUUUACAUGCUGGUUCUGACCUUUGGUGCCUCGGUGAUCUUCAUGUCUCACUCCAGUUUUUUCCCCUGUAAAAUGUGAAGUUUGGACUUGGCUAAUAAAGGCUCCUCCCAACUCUGAUGUCCUGAGUUU
rnacentral:lncRNA from 1 species